GUGUCAGCCGCCGCGGUAAGACGAACCGUGCGAACGUUGUUCGGAAUCACUGGGCUUAAAGGGCGCGUAGGCGGGCAUUCAAGUCGGUGGUGAAAUCCUCCGGCUCAACCGGAGAAGAGCUGUCGAUACUGGGUGCCUCGAGGGGUGUAGGGGUCUGUGGAACUUUGGGUGGAGCGGUGAAAUGCGUAGAGAUCCAAAGGAACGCCGGUGGCGAAAGCGACGGACUGGACACCUUCUGACGCUGAGGCGCGAAAGCCAGGGGAGCAAACGGGAUUAGAAACCCCCGUAGUCC
rnacentral:rRNA from 1 species